GACGAACGCUGGCGGCGUGCCUAACACAUGCAAGUCGAACGGAACUGCAAUGAACAAGACUUCGGUCAAGUGAGUUGUACGUUUAGUUUAGUGGCGGACGGUGAGUAACGCGUGGGUAACCUGCCUCAUACAGGGGGAUAACAGUUGGAAACGACUGUUAAUACCGCAUAAGCGCACAAAACCGCAUGGUUUUGUGUGAAAAAACUCCGGUGGUAUGAGAUGGACCCGCGUCUGAUUAGCUGGUUGGUGAGGUUAACGGCCCACCAAGGCGACGAUCAGUAGCCGCCUGAGAGGGUGAACGGCCGACAUUGGGACUGAGACACGG
rnacentral:rRNA from 1 species